AUGUACUCAACGCUGGAGCUCGAGAAGUCUUGUGUUUCCAACACUACAAUGCAGAACAAGUGCUGCUGGGCAGACAUGGAGGACUGGCUGAGAUUCUCAGUCUGUUACUGGCACGCCUUCUGUGGGACUGGUGCUGACCCUUUUGGGAUCCAGACACUACACAGACCCUGGAAUGAGGGUGCUACCCCCAUGGAAUGUGCCAAGAAGAGACUCCAUGCAGCCUUUGAGUUCUUCACCAAACUUGGUGUGAGUGAACUUCCACCCAAAUACUGUACCUUUAAAACUUUGUAUUUUAGAAUGUACAGCUUUAAAAAUAUAUAG
rnacentral:lncRNA from 8 species